AAAAAUAUAAAUUUCUAUUAGUGUUGCAAGUCCAUUUGAGCGAGAGUAGUACUAGGAUGGGUGACCUCCUGGGAAGUCCUCGUGAAAGGGUUUC
rnacentral:rRNA from 1 species